rnacentral:rRNA from 1 species
AACGAACGUUGGCGGCAGGCUUAACACAUGCAAGUCGAACGAGAUCUUCGGAUCUAGUGGCAGACGGGUGAGGAACACGUGGGAACAUCCCUUUCAGUUCGGAAUAACGUUGGGAAACUAACGCUAAUACCGGAUACGUCCUUCGGGAGAAAGAUUUAUCGCUGAAAGAUUGGCCCGCGUCUGAUUAGCUAGUUGGUGAGGUAACGGCUCACCAAGGCUACGAUCAGUAGCUGAUCUGAGAGGAUGAUCAGCCACAUUGGGACUGAGACACGGCCCAAACUCCUACGGGAGGCAGCAGUGGGGAAUAGUGGACAAUGGGCGCAAGCCUGAUCCAGCCAUGCCGCGUGAGUGAUGACGGCCUUCGGGUUGUAAAGCUCUUUUGUCCGGGAAGAUAAUGACUGUACCGGAAGAAUAAGCCCCGGCAAACUUCGUGCCAGCAGCCGCCGUAACAC